rnacentral:tRNA from 1 species
UCCUAGGUGGCUCAGUGGAUAAAGAAUCUGCCUGCAAUGCAGGAGAUGCAGGUUCAAUCCCUGGAUUAGGGA